UAUACAGAAAAAGUGAAAAGAGAAAUACAAAUUGAAGAAGAAGAAGAAAAAUCAACGACCCCUAUUAGGAUACUUAGAUAUCGAUAGUCAUCAAUGAAAUCACAAGAAGUACAACAACAACAAAGAUAAGCUCAUGUGGUGAUACGAGAUCUUUCAACAAACAUUUGGCAAAGAAACAUGAAAUCACAAAAGAAACUCAUGCAACAAGCGGCAACAGGACCACAAGUGGAAGCCGAUAGUGGACAAUGGACAUCCGCGGCGGAGGAAGAAGAAUUCUAGAUGAAAAGCGAUCUCGUCUUACUCCACAUACUAUUCAAAUAUGUGUUUGCAAGAAAGAUUGGGAUCAAGUGGAGAUCCGAACACAAAGACUCAAGUACGAUGGAUGAUCCAUGGAUGAUGAUGGAUACAUCUGCAUCAUCGUCAGGAGGAGAGUCAGCAGAAGCAUCUAACCAACAAAAUGAUGAUGACGAGGACGAAUA